rnacentral:lncRNA from 1 species
CUUUUUUGUUGAGACGGAGUCUCGCUCUGUCACCCAGGCUGAAGUGCGGUGGUGCGACCUUGGCUCACUGCAACCUCCGCCUCCCGGGUUCAAGCAGUUCUCUGCUUCAGCGUCCCAAGUAGCUAGGAUUACAGGUGCCCGCCACCAUACCCGGCUAAGUUUUCUAUUUUUAAUAGAGAUGGGGUUUCACCAUCUUGGCCAAGCUGGUCUUGAACUCCUGACCUUGUGAUCCACCCACCUCGGCCUCCCAAAGUGCUGGGAUUACAGGCGUGAGCCACUGCGUCCAGCCGAUGUCAGUACUUUGUGUGCUCUUGAAAUAGGAAAUGUACAGAUCCCUAUUGCCAGACACAUCAUUCUCUCCAUCCAGAAAGCCAACUUUGCAAGGACAAAAAAAAAAAUUAGUGUGAAACAAAAUGUGGCUUUUCCAAAGACAGAUGUGAUUAUUUAUAGUCAAUGUGGCCUCAAAAUGUCAUUGAUUGUGAAAUAGCAAACAUGCAGGAUCAUAAUAUUUGGGUAGGUUUCUGAAGUUAUUUCAUAUCUGAGCAGUCUAAAGAAGUAUGGGGAGGAGGGGCCGGGCAUAGUGGCUCACACCUGUAAUCCCAGCACUUUGGGAGGCCAAGGAGGGUGGAUCACCUGAGGUCAGGAGUUCCAAGACCACCCUAGGCAACAUGGUGAAACCCCGUAUCUACAAAAAAUACAAAAAUUAGCUGGGUGUGGUAGUGGCUCCUGUAAUCCUAGCUACUCAGGAGGCUGAGGUGAGAGGGUCACUUGAACCUGUGAGAUGGCGAUUGCAGUGAGCUGAGAUCAUGCCACUGCACUUCAACCUGGGCGACAGAGCGAGACCUUGUCUUAAACAAAAAGAGGGGGAGAGCUGGGGAGGGGAAUGAGAAAGAAA